UUGCAACACUGGCGGCGUGCCUAAUAAUGCAAGUCGAGCGAACGGACGAGAAGCUUGCUUCUCUGAUGUUAGCGGCGGACGGGUGAGUAACACGUGGAUAACCUACCUAUAAGACUGGGAUAACUUCGGGAAACCGGAGCUAAUACCGGAUAAUAUUUUGAACCGCAUGGUUCAAAAGUGAAAAACGGUCCUGCUGUCACUUAUAGAUGGAUCCGCGCUGCAUUAGCUAGUUGGUAAGGUAACGGCUUACCAAGGCAACGAUGCAUAGCCGACCUGAGAGGGUGAUCGGCCACACUGGAACUGAGACACGGUCCAGACUCCUACGGGAGGCAGCAGUAGGGAAUCUUCCGCAAUGGGCGAAAGCCUGACGGAGCAACGCCGCGUGAGUGAUGAAGGUCUUCGGAUCGUAAAACUCUGUUAUUAGGGAAGAACAUAUGUGUAAGUAACUGUGCACAUCUUGACGGUACCUAAUCAGAAAGCCACGGCUAACUACGUGCCAGCAGCCGCGGUAAU
rnacentral:rRNA from 1 species